rnacentral:rRNA from 1 species
AUUGAACGCUGGCGGCAGGCCUAACACAUGCAAGUCGAACGAGUGGCGGACGGGUGAGUAAUGCCUGGGAAACUGCCUGAUGGAGGGGGAUAACGAAUGGAAACGGUCGCUAAUACCGCAUACCAUCGGAUGUGCCCAGAUGGGAUUAGCUAGUUGGUGGGGUAAAGGCUCACCAAGGCGACGAUCCCUAGCUGGUCUGAGAGGAUGACCAGCCACACUGGAACUGAGACACGGUCCAGACUCCUACGGGAGGCAGCAGUGGGGAAUAUUGCACAAUGGGCGCAAGCCUGAUGCAGCCAUGCCGCGUGUAUGAAGAAGGCCUUCGGGUUGUAAAGUACUUUCAGCGGGGAGGCGUUACCCGCAGAAGAAGCACCGGCUAACUCCGUGCCAGCCGCCGCGGUAAUUC